UGGCGGCGUGGCCUAAUACAUGCAAGUCGAGACGAACUGAUUAGAAGCUUGCUUCUAUGACGUUAGCGGCGGACGGGUGAGUAACACGUGGGCAACCUGCCUGUAAGACUGGGAUAACUUCGGGAAACCGAAGCUAAUACCGGAUAGGAUCUUCUCCUUCAUGGGAGAUGAUUGAAAGAUGGUUUCGGCUAUCACUUACAGAUGGGCCCGCGGUGCAUUAGCUAGUUGGUGAGGUAACGGCUCACCAAGGCCACGAUGCAUAGCCGACCUGAGAGGGUGAUCGGCCACACUGGGACUGAGACACGGCCCAGACUCCUACGGGAGGCAGCAGUAGGGAAUCUUCCGCAAUGGACGAAAGUCUGACGGAGCAACGCCGCGUGAGUGAUGAAGGCUUUCGGGUCGUAAAACUCUGUUGUUAGGGAAGAACAAGUACAAGAGUAACUGCUUGUACCUUGACGGUACCUAACCAGAAAGCCACGGCUAACUACAGUGCCAGCAGCCGCGGUAAUACGUAGGUGGCAAGCGUUAUCCGGAAUUAUUGGGCGUAAAGCGCGCGCAGGCGGUUUCUUAAGUCUGAUGUGAAAGCCCACGGCUCAACCGUGGAGGGUCAUNGGAAACUGGGGAACUUGAGUGCAGAAGAGAAAAGCGGAAUUCCACGUGUAGCGGUGAAAUGCGUAGAGAUGUGGAGGAACACCAGUGGCGAACGCGGCUUUUUUGGUCUGUAACUGACGCUGAGGCGCNGAGAGCGUGGGGAGCAAA
rnacentral:rRNA from 1 species